GGCCGUUGUCCAGUGCAGACCCAAGUGUAGUUUAUUUACAUUUUACAAAAUUAAAAUCUAGGCAGCACAAAUCCAUGCCUGCCGCUCCAUCCAACACUCAACCCUCAACAAAAAACUCCCUCCAGCAAACACAGAGCUGUAUUUAUAACAGGUGUGACCAAUUGGAUUAAUCCUAAAACCCAGACACAGGUAAGAACAAAAAAUACAAUCUUUCAAUACUCUUAAAUUAUACUUAAAUCAUCAUCUCUAAGAUCUCCUUAAAUAAUUACAAUACAAAAAUAGAAACAUCCUUAAUCAAUCCUAAAAACAUUCAAUGAAACUAAUCUGCCUUCCUAGAGCAAUUUCACAGGUCACCCCUCCUAUUCCUCCUGAAUGGAAUGCUCCGGAACCUUCUUUAGGUGCUCCAGCUCCCCAGGAACUCUUUUAGCUGGAACACCUCCAGAAGCACAUGGGAAACAGGUCCAAACGCUUCACCCCUUCCAAAUAAACAUUAAAACAAUCAUUGAGCCUGGUUUCAUUUAUCCUACAAUCAUAGCAAAAGCCUGUGCAAUUGGACUUUCUAUAUUACAAUGAUUUGUAGAUCUGAGUGGAAUCAGCUGGAUGGAAACAGGUUGGUAGCUGAAUCUCUCUGGUGAAAUGGCGUCAGAUUCUCUGCAGGGAUGGCAGGUCUCUUGUAGUCAAAGAAGAGCACUGUCGCUGCCCAACUUGAAUUACGACUCAAGAUGCAGAGAGUUUCGACUGAUGCAACUUUAUUUCUCUCCUUCUUUCCACCUUCGACCAUAUGACACCGUGAAAAUUCUUUGCUUCCAAGGGGCGCUAAUCUUGUUUAACCUUCUAACAGCUUCCUCCAUACACAUCUUUUUCAGUCUUGGUUUACACGAACGCUUCAUUUAAGUUUUACCCUCUCCGAAGCCAUGUUUGUUUUGUUUCACGGAGUACAGAGAGGGGAAAGUUGCACACCGAAAGGAAGUGCUGUGGUAACUGAGCGAUGCUCUUCAAAAUAAAGGCACAAGAGGAAGCAACUAGAAAAGGAAAAUGAAGAGCUACGGAAAUAUGAGCUGUGCUCUUCAAAAUAAAGCACAAAAUGAAAUGGCCUUUUCUUUUUUUCAUUUACAGUAUUCUACCUUCAUUGUAGUCAUCUCCAGUCCAACAUAAUGUGUUUACUAUUGUGGGUUUAUAUUGUGUGUUAUGAAUUUUGCAAUGUAAACACAUUCGUCCUUUAUUCUUCUCCACCUCUUUAUGCAGUCGUCGCCUCCAAACUAAAGUUUCCUGUAAUUUCCAUCUAUGAAUAAAAAGUUUGCUUUUAUUCUUUGUA